UUUACCAACGAGUGUGCUGUAAACUGCUCUUGGAAGGGUGUACGAAAAAAUUUCCGGCUGGACAAUUUACAUUUCAUAAAAAUGAUAAGACGACAUAUUACUUCGCACCAUAUGACGCUCACAGAGUCCGAAUUUGAAAACAUCGCGGCUGAAUGGAUCCGCUUCGCAAAACAGCGUAAGAUAAGAAAA
rnacentral:lncRNA from 13 species